GCCGGGAUGGUGGAAUUGGUAGACACACAAGACUUAAAAUCUUGAGACCGAUAGGUCGUGCGGGUUCAAGUCCCGCUCCCGGUACCA
rnacentral:tRNA from 1 species